rnacentral:rRNA from 1 species
GAUGAACGCUGGCGGCGUGCCUAACACAUGCAAGUCGAGCGAUUCUCUUCGGAGAAGAGCGGCGGACGGGUGAGUAACGCGUGGGUAACCUGCCCUGUACACACGGAUAACAUACCGAAAGGUAUGCUAAUACGAGAUAAUAUGCUUUUAUCGCAUGGUAGAAGUAUCAAAGCUUCGGCGGUACAGGAUGGACCCGCGUCUGAUUAGCUAGUUGGUAAGGUAACGGCUUACCAAGGCGACGAUCAGUAGCCGACCUGAGAGGGUGAUCGGCCACAUUGGAACUGGGACACGGUCCAAACUCCUACGGGAGGCAGCAGUGGGGAAUAUUGCACAAUGGGCGAAAGCCUGAUGCAGCAACGCCGCGUGAGCGAUGAAGGCCUUCGGGUCGUAAAGCUCUGUCCUCAAGGAAGAUAAUGACGGUACUUGAGGAGGAAGCCCCGGCUAACUACGUGCCAGCCGCCGCGGUAAGAC